AUUGAACGCUGGCGGCAUGCCUUACACAUGCAAGUCGAACGGUAACGCGGGGCAACCUGGCGACGAGUGGCGAACGGGUGAGUAAUGUAUCGGAACGUGCCCAGUUGUGGGGGAUAACUGCUCGAAAGAGCAGCUAAUACCGCAUACGACCUGAGGGUGAAAGCGGGGGAUCGCAAGACCUCGCGCAAUUGGAGCGGCCGAUAUCAGAUUAGGUAGUUGGUGGGGUAAAGGCUCACCAAGCCGGCGAUCUGUAGCUGGGCUGAGAGGACGACCAGCCACACUGGGACUGAGCAACGGCCCAGACUCCUACGGGAGGCAGCAGUGGGGAAUUUUGGACAAUGGACGCAAGUCUGAUCCAGCCAUGCCGCGUGCGGGAAGAAGGCCUUCGGGUUGUAAACCGCUUUUGUCAGGGAAGAAACGCUCUGGGUUAAUACCUCGGGGUAAUGACGGUACCUGAAGAAUAAGCACCGGCUAACUACGUGCCAGCCGCCGCAGUAAGAC
rnacentral:rRNA from 1 species